rnacentral:misc_RNA from 1 species
GAAGAGCAUUGAAGAAGAUGAACAUUGUCUAAUACCAAUGGGUGGUCCACUUCCAGUAUUACCUCAGAGAGUCGUUGGAAUCGGUGGUACAGCUGGCAUGGUUCAUCCAUCCACCGGUUAUAUGGUGGCAAGGACACUAGCUGCGGCUCCUGUUGUUGCCAAUGCCAUAAUUCAAUACCUCGGUUCUGAAAGAAGUCAUUCG